AGCGAACGCUGGCGGCAGGCUUAACACAUGCAAGUCGAGCGGGCCCUUCGGGGUCAGCGGCGGACGGGUGAGUAACGCGUGGGAACGUGCCUUCUGGUCUGGAAUAACCCUGGGAAACUAGGGCUAAUACCGGAUACGCCCUUUUGGGGAAAGGUUUACUGCCGGAGGAUCGGCCCGCGUCUGAUUAGCUAGUUGGUGGGGUAACGGCCUACCAAGGCGACGAUCAGUAGCUGGUCUGAGAGGAUGAUCAGCCACACUGGGACUGAGACACGGCCCAGACUCCUACGGGAGGCAGCAGUGGGGAAUAUUGGACAAUGGGCGCAAGCCUGAUCCAGCCAUGCCGCGUGAGUGAUGAAGGCCUUAGGGUUGUAAAGCUCUUUUAUCCGGGACGAUAAUGACGGUACCGGAGGAAUAAGCCCCGGCUAACUUCGUG
rnacentral:rRNA from 1 species